CCUACGGGAGGCAGCAGUGGGGAAUAUUGCACAAUGGGGGAAACCCUGAUGCAGCGACGCCGCGUGAGUGAAGAAGGAUCUAGGUAUGUAAAGCUCUAUCAGUAGGGAAGAAAAUGACGGUACCUGAUGAAGAAGCCCCGGCUAACUACGGGCCAGCAGCCGCGGUAAUACGUAGGGGGCAAGAGUUAUCCGGAUUUACUGGGUGUAAAGGGAGCGUAGACGGCAGCACAAGUCUGGAGUGAAAUGCCGGGGCUUAACCCCGGAACUGCUUUGGAAACUGUGCAGCUAGAGUGCCGGAGAGGUAAGUGGAAGUCCUGGUGUAGCGGUGAAAUGCGUAGAUAUGAGGAGGAACACCAGUGGCGAAGGCGGCUUACUGGACUGUAACUGACGUUGAGGCUCGAAAGCGUGGGGAGCAAACAGGAUUAGAUACCCUAGUAGUC
rnacentral:rRNA from 1 species